rnacentral:rRNA from 1 species
GUGAGACAGUUCGGUCCCUAUCUGCCGUGGGCGCUGGAGAACUGAGGGGGGCUGCUCCUAGUACGAGAGGACCGGAGUGGACGCAUCACUGGUGUUCGGGUUGUCAUGCCAAUGGCACUGCCCGGUAGCUAAAUGCGGAAGAGAUAAGUGCUGAAAGCAUCUAAGCACGAAACUUGCCCCGAGAUGAGUUCUCCCUGACUCCUUGAGAGUCCUGAAGGAACGUUGAAGACGACGACGUUGAUAGGCCGGGUGUGUAAGCGCAGCGAUGCGUUGAGCUAACCGGUACUAAUGAACCGUGAGGCUUAACCUUACAACGCCGAAGGUGUUU